AGAGUUUGAUCAUGGCUCAGAACGUACGCUGGCGGCACGCCUAACACAUGCAAGUCGAACGAAGUAGCAAUACUUAGUGGCAGACGGGUGAGUAACAUGUAGGUAUCUACCCUUUGGCCUGGAAUAACACGAGGAAACUUGUGCUAAUACCGGAUAAGUCUUUACGGAGAAAGCUUUAUGCACCAUUGGAUGAGCCUGCACUUGAUUAGUUUGUUGGUGGGGUAAUGGCCUACCAAGACUGUGAUCAAUAGCUGAUUUGAGAGGAUGAUCAGCCACAUUGGGACUGAGACACGGCCCAAACUCCUACGGGAGGCAGCAGUGGGGAAUCUUGCACAAUGGAGGAAACUCUGAUGCAGCGAUGCCGCGUGAGUGAAGAAGGCCUUUGGGUUGUAAAGCUCUUUCGUCGGGGAAGAAAAUGACUGUACCCGAAUAAGAAGGUCCGGCUAACUUCGUGCCAGCAGCCGCGGUAAUACGAAGGGACCUAGCGUAGUUCGGAAUUACUGGGCUUAAAGAGUUCGUAGGUGGUUGAAAAAGUUAGUGGUGAAAUCCCAGAGCUUAACUCUGGAACUGCCAUUAAAACUUUUCAGCUAGAGUAUGAUAGAGGAAAGCAGAAUUUCUAGUGUAGAGGUGAAAUUCGUAGAUAUUAGAAAGAAUACCAAUUGCGAAGGCAGCUUUCUGGAUCAUUACUGACACUGAGGAACGAAAGCAUGGGUAGCGAAGAGGAUUAGAUACCCUCGUAGUCCAUGCCGUAAACGAUGUGUGUUAGACGUUGGAAAUUUAUU
rnacentral:rRNA from 1 species